AAAUUAACAGGCCUAAAUCUGUUUCCGCAGGGAGCAUUACGAAUGGUAUAGCAAUAUAUUUAGACAUGCCAAUUUAGUUUACAUUAUGGCGGUAAAUCUCAU